CCUAAGCAUCGAUCAACAUUACAUAUAGCAGAAUGCACACAAAACAAAUGGACCAUUAUUUUUCACUACCGUGGCAUCGCUUUCAUAUAGAUCAUCAUUUCUCCUAGUUACUACUAGGGUAGGGCACUCGAUAUGUCCUACUUUCUACCACAAGUCAUGCCAAAAAUUCUGUCAUGACCUUUGCUAAAAAUAGGACAUAUGGAGCGCUUGAAAUAUGCCGAAAUGGAAAUGAAUCAACAUUCUGGCAAAACAUAGGUCACUCGGAGUCUCCCUGCAACAAGAACACCAAGAAACAAGCUCUCCAUGUUCAUUAUCGACAUCAACAUGGGGACUAGCCCUUGCAUUUUAAUAGAAAGAAGAAAUACAUGAAGUCCUCGACAUGGGUACAGUUUCCUCUGUGCGUGUUCAUCAUCGACAUUCACCAGAGAUCAUCAUUGACAUCAACAACAUGGGGAUUUGGCUGGGCUCAGCUCGAGGUCAGAGGGGGUCGGUGAUGGGGAUGACGAAAACGACGAGGCAGGGGCAAAUACUUGAUUUAUACAUAAACAAAAUAUAAAUAGAACAUUAUCAUGUCGAUUUUAGGACUUAGUGAAAAACAGAGGUCUAUAUAAACAGAAAACAUUAUCAUCGUUGACAUGGUUAUAGUUUCCUCUGUGCAUGUUCAUCAUCGACAUUCACCAGAGAUCAUCAUUGACAUCAACAACAUGGGGAUUUGGCUGGGCUCAGCUCGAGGUCAGAGGGGGUUGGUGAUGGGGACGAGGAAAUGACGAGGCAGGGGCAAAUACUUGAUUUCUACAUAAACAAAAUAUAAGUAGAACAUUAUCAUGUUUAUUUUUAGGACUUAGUGAAUAACAGAGGUCUAUAUAAACAGAAACAUUAUCAUGUUUAUUUUUAGGACUUAGUGAAUAACAGAGGUCUAUAUAAACAGAAACAUUAUCAUGCUGACUUGGAUGCAAGACAUGAAAUGCUACAGGAAGUUAACAUGGCAUAUAUGCAUGGCAUGAAAGUUGACAUAUGAUGUAGUUCCUAACUCAUGUAGAAAUUCACCAAGUGUCAACAGGCAACAAUAUUAUUAUAGGUAAUUUACAUGCUCAAAACAGUGUGUUAAAGAUUUUUAGAGAUGAUAAAAAGGAUAUGGACAGAUAGUACAAAUAACAUAGAGAAAAUCAUAUACAUGGCAUGAAUUUAUUUGAUGCAUGGUUAUUUAGGUAUGAGUUUUACAAAAUGCCAAGUUUUACUGAAAUCAGUGAAAAUUAUAUAUUAACAUUAAGUUGACUACUUUGAGCAGAUCCAACAGUGGCUAAAAAAGAUGAUCAAAUCAGGCAAUUGGCAUGUAGAUGUAGUAUUCACAGAGCUUAACAAAACAUCUUUAGCACAUGCAUCCAAAAGAGCCACGGAUAAUUCACGAAUUCCACCACAAAAGGGCUAAACAGAUUUGGAUUCAGACUUGGCACAAAUUUAGUAAUCAGCAUGCAAAUUUGAAGUUGCUCCUCACCUUGCUCCGGCGGCGGCGACGUGGGAGGGAGGGAGCGGGCGGAGUCGAUGUGGGAAGGAGGGACAGGGCGAAGGCGACGUGGGAGGGAGGGACAGGAUGGCGGCGACGAUGUAGGAGAGAGUGCCGGCGAGAGGAGUGGAGGAAGGAGGGAGGAGGUGGGGUGACGGCUGGAGGAGUGAUGGCGGCGGCGGGAGGAGGAGCGACAGCGAGAGAGCGAGAGUGAGGAAAGUGGAGUGAGGAACGUGUAGGGAGAUAAGAGUGUUCGGCUUAGCAGCAGCGCCGAGCAGGGGGGCGCACUACAGCUAAG
rnacentral:lncRNA from 1 species